rnacentral:rRNA from 1 species
GUGGUGCGACGAACCAGAGCUUGCUCUGGGGCAAAGCCGCGAACGGGUGAGUAACCACGUGGGUAAUCUACCCCGAUGACCGGGACAACCCGAGGAAACUCGGGCUAAUACCGGAUGUGGUACGGAGACAUAAGUCUCUUUACUAAAGGUAGCUUCGGCUUCCGCAUUGGGAGGGGCCCGCGGCCCAUUAGCUAGUUGGUGGGGUCAAGGCCUACCAAGGCAACGAUGGGUAGCUGGUCUGAGAGGACGAUCAGCCACACUGGGACUGAGACACGGCCCAGACUCCUACGGGAGGCAGCAGUGGGGAAUCUUGCGCAAUGCGCGAAAGCGUGACGCAGCAACACCGCGUGAGGGAAGACGGCCUUAGGGUUGUAAACCUCUUUCAGAUGGGACGAAGGUGAUGCGGUGAAUAGCCGAUGUCAUUGACGGUACCGUCAGAAGAAGCUCCGGCUAACUACGUG